UUACAUGUAGUAGGAGUAUUAUAAAUACGAAUGCGAGUUAAAAUGGUCACUGAGAAGUUAUGUUAGCAUUUCAGAUUUGAGUAAGACGGAUGACGGUGAGACCACUGCUUAAUUUCACUUCCAUCCAUACCGCGUCGUCCAGUAAACGAAAACGCAUAUGUGACACUUACCUUACUUCACCACGGGGCUAAACAUACGUUAGUUUUUAAGGAGGAGAGAUCAUACCAAAAGAAGAAGGCGAGGAAUGGAAAAGUAAAAGAAAUGGUUGUCAUCGUCAUAUUGUUGAUUGCAUUGUGCUCCCCAUCAUAAGGAAGGAGGAGGAGAGGGUAGAAAUCGUGAGACUGGAUGACUGCUGCUGGACCAGACCAGCCUGCUUGGCGUCGUGGCUUUUUUCUCUUAGGAAGGUCAACCCUGGAAUGUGACCCUUUGUUUAAGAGUCCCAUUGUUACGUGGCUAUUCAUCUCUCUGUAUCUUGUGUGUCGUCUCAUAAAUGUCUUCUCCUGUCUUGUCUUCCCUUCACAGGGUUGAUUAUUAACAGGGACUUAAAGGAAGCCGAUCCUCUCCUGCCUGCAGUUUGGUUAGGGCUUAAAUCCAGCGUAAUGGAUGUGCUUGGAAUUAAAAUGGCUGCUUAAAUGUGGAUAGUGAAACAUUCUUGUCUUGUGUUUUUCUAAAUACUUCAUAUCCGCAGAGGAUAGAUUGUAUCGGUGUGCUUACAUGUGGUUGGAGAUGUCUUAUCCAUCCACCGAGAAGCUGGCAGACUGCGUGGAACCAAGACACGCUAAAAGGACUCGAUUACAUACAGAAUGGUCAAGUACAGAGAGAGACACGCAGUCUGGUCUUCCAGCCAGUUGGUCAUUGUUCAUUGCACACGAAGAGAAAUGAUUGUUGACUUUGUGAUGUGUAAUUGGAGGUUGAUUCCCUCUGUCUUAUGUAAAUAUCAAGGAUGUGUACAUAUGUACAGUGAGUGAUAGCAAGUGCAAGUGAGUGAUAGCGGCAGACAAAAAAUGUGUAUUUUAUACUGCUCAUAAAUAUGUAUGAAUGCUGAUUAAAACCAAUUUUACAUUAAUUUUGAGUGUCACUUUUCCACGAGCAAAAACCUACUUAUUAGACAGUAAAGAAUGCAAGAAUUUAGCACUUUGGAAUUUUUAGGGAAAGCAUCCUCAUCUAUUGUCAUCAUUUAUAAAUUGGAAUAAUGAACAAAGUGGAAAAGUAUCCAUCCAUCGAUUGAUAAUCCAACAACAACGCCACGCCGCAUGGUGGUCUCUUUCUCCUCACGUCGGGUCCAAACACUUACGUCCUGGGCAACAUCGUGCUUUGCAUUAUCACAUUACAUUAAACCACAUUAAACCAUUAUUGGUUUUCAUGGCUUGAAAGGUCGUCUCAUGUCUGAAGUCAUGUAAAGUAAUCUUCCUGCUCUUUCGCCUCCUCCUCCUGUCCGUAGACCAGACCAGGAAAGGGUUGAGAUGAGAUGAGUGGAGUUGAAUGAUGAGUUUGUAAUGUCAUGUUUCUUAUUGACGGGAAGCAUUAUCCGGCCCUCCUCGUAUUCAAAGGAGAGAGAGCCAGAGACGCUUCAAUUUGUGCAUGAUCUGAAUAACCGCUAAGUAAUACGCUGGCCGUCAUGAUAACGUUGAUCUGAAGACGGCAAAUCGAAACUACACAGUACACACAUAUUUGUCCUUAGUUGGGCGGGGGCGAAAGUAAAGUGGUCCUCUAUAGAAAAUAAGUUAGUAAUACAUACAGUAAAUAGCCGAUACUAAAA